rnacentral:rRNA from 1 species
UUCCGGUUGAUCCUGCCGGACCUGACUGCUAUCGGAUUGGUACUAAACCAUGCGAGUCGUGGUAGCAAUACAAGGCGGACGGCUCAGUAACACGUAGUCAACCUAACCUAUGGACGUGGAUAACCUCGGGAAACUGAGAAUAAACCGCGAUAGAUCAUUAUGCCUGGAAUGGCUUAUGGUUCAAACAAUUUAUUGCCGUAGGAUGGGACUGCGGCCUAUCAGCUUGUUGGUGAGGUAAUGGCCCACCAAGGCUAUAACAGGUACGGGCUCUGAGAGGAGAAGCCCGGAGAUGGGUACUGAGACACGGACCCAGGCCCUAUGGGGCGCAGCAGGCGAGAAACCUUAGCAAUGUGCGAAGGCACGACUAGGUUAAUCCGAGUGAUUUCUGUUGAAGAAAUCUUUUGUCAGUCGUAAAACCACAGACGAAUAAGGGGUGGGCAAGUCUGGUGUCAGCCGCCGCGGUAAUACCAGCUCCUCGAGUGGUCGGGGCGAUUAUUGGGCCUAAAGCAUCCGUAGCCGGUUCCGUAGGUCCUCUGUUAAAUCCAACCGCUUAACGGUUGACCUGCAGAGGAUACCGCGGGACUAGGAGGCGGGAGAGGCGGACGGUAUUCCGCGUGUAGGGGUAAAAUCCUUUGAUCCGCGGAGGACCACCAGUGGCGAAGGCGGUCCGCCAGAACGCGCUCGACGGUGAGGGAUGAAAGCUGGGGGAGCGAACCGGAUUAGAUACCCGGGUAGUCCCAGCCGUAAACGAUGCUAGCUAGAUGAUUCAUUCGCAAGUCGCGAAUGAAGUGUCGCAGGGAAGCCGUUAACCUAUAAGGCUGCGGAGUACGGUCGCAAGNCUAAAGCGGGGGCCUUUAGGGGGGGGANCA